UACGAAGGGGGCUAGCGUUGCUCGGAAUCACUGGGCGUAAAGGGUGCGUAGGCGGGGCUUUAAGUCAGGGGUGAAAUCCUGGAGCUCAACUCCAGAACUGCCUUUGAUACUGAGAGGCUUGAGUCCGGGAGAGGUGAGUGGAACUGCGAGUGUAGAGGUGAAAUUCGUAGAUAUUCGCAAGAACACCAGUGGCGAAGGCGGCUCACUGGCCCGGUACUGACGCUGAGGUGCGAAAGCGUGGGGAGCAAACAGG
rnacentral:rRNA from 1 species